AAAGCGUGCGCAGGCGGUUUUGUAAGACAGUGGUGAAAUCCCCGGGCUCAACCUGGGAACUGCCAUUGUGACUGCAAAGCUAGAGUGCGGCAGAGGGGGAUGGAAUUCCGCGUGUAGCAGUGAAAUGCGUAGAUAUGCGGAGGAACACCGAUGGCGAAGGCAAUCCCCUGGGCCUGCACUGACGCUCAUGCACGAAAGCGUGGGGAGCAAACAGGAUUAGAUACCCGAGU
rnacentral:rRNA from 1 species